GACGAGCGCUGGCGGCGUGCCUAACACAUGCCCUUUGAGCGGUUUGCAGCUCAACACUGAGCAUUCAAGAGAAAGAAUGCUGAGUGUUGAGUUGCAGAUAGCGGCGGACGGGUGAGUAACACGUGGGUAACCUGCCCUGUACAGGGGGAUAGCCACUCGAAAGGGUGAUUAAUACCGCAUAACACUAUAGAGCCGCAUGGCUUAAUAGUCAAAGGGGAAACUUGGUACAGGAUGGACCCGCGGUCCAUUAGCUAGUUGGAGAGGUAACGGCUCACCAAGGCGACGAUGGAUAGCCGAUCUGAGAGGAUGACCGGCCACAUUGGAACUGAGAAACGGUCCAAACUCCUACGGGAGGCAGCAGUGGGGAAUAUUGCGCAAUGGGGGGAACCCUGACGCAUCUUCGCCGCGUGAGUGAAGAAGGCCUUCGGGUCGUAAAGCUCUGUCUUCCCUGACGAUAAUGACGGUAAGGGAGGAGGAAGCCACGGCUAACUACGUGCCAGCAGCCGCGGUAAUACGUAGGUGGCGAGCGUUGUCCGGAAUUACUGGGCGUAAAGGGUGCGUAGGCGGAAUUUUAAGUCAGAUGUGAAAACCCCGGGCUCAACCUGGGGACUGCAUUUGAAACUGGGAUUCUAGAGUGC
rnacentral:rRNA from 2 species